rnacentral:rRNA from 1 species
GGACGAACGCUGGCGGCGUGCUUCAUACAUGCAAGUCGAACGGGUACCAAUCAGUGGCAACACUGAGGAAGUACUAGUGGCGAACGGGUGAGUAACACGUGAGGAACUUGCCCCGGACUCUGGGAUAACAGGUGGAAACACCUGCUAAUACCGGAUGCCAUCGGUGGAUCGCAUGGUCUACCGAUGAGAGAAUUUCGGUCCGGGAUGGCCUCGCGGCCUAUCAGCUAGUUGGUGGGGUAACGGCCUACCAAGGCGUCGACGGGUAGCUGGUCUGAGAGGAUGAUCAGCCACACUGGGACUGAGACACGGCCCAGACUCCUACGGGAGGCAGCAGUAGGGAAUCUUGCGCAAUGGGCGAAAGCCUGACGCAGCAACGCCGCGUGCGGGAAGAAGGCCUUCGGGUUGUAAACCGCUUUUAGCAGGAACGAAAAUGACGGUACCUGCAGAAUAAGGUGCGGCCAACUACGUGCCAGCAGCCGCGGUGACACGUAGGCACCAAGCGUUGUCCGGAUUUAUUGGGCGUAAAGAGCUCGUAGGCGGUUCAGUAAGUCGGGUGUGAAAACUCUGGGCUUAACCCGGAGACGCCACCCGAUACUGCUGAACUAGAGUUCGGUAGGGGAGCGGGGAAUUCCUGGUGUAGCGGUGAAAUGCGCAGAUAUCAGGAGGAACACCGGUGGCGAAGGCGCCGCUCUGGGCCGAUACUGACGCUGAGGAGCGAAAGCGUGGGUAGCAAACAGGAUUAGAUACCCUGGUAGUCCACGCCGUAAACGUUGGGCACUAGGUGUGGGUUCCAACCAACGGAAUCCGUGCCGUCGCUAACGCAUUAAGUGCCCCGCCUGGGGAGUACGGCCGCAAGGUUAAAACUCA